GAUACAGAAAUAGAGAGGCGAUGAAAGCGAGGGAGGCGACGAGCACACAAGGAACGAAGCAGAGAAACAGGCAGAACGGUGAACUUAGCAUCGAUUCUGUCAAGUUUAUGGUUAAAUCCAACCAAAAUCGCGAUCAAUACAACGUUCGAAAGCCUGAUUUACACAUAAAACCCAAAACUACCCACUCUCGAUAAACCUUUUCUUCUUCUUUGCCUCUUCCUCCGCGUUGAAGCCGUUUUCUCUGCCUCUCUCAAUUCUCUAAACCCCUAAACCAUAGCCCAUUGCCGCUCUCUCACUCCUUCAACAUCCCACCGCCGUCAUAUACCAGUCCUAUAAAGAGUUUGCGACACAGGGGAGAUUCGUAUGGCCGGCCAUCGCCAUCCCCUGCCAGAUUUAGACCACCGCAAUCGGCACCCGUCAAAGUUAAAUAUGAUCAAACGUCCCAGAGGUAUUAAGAUACGGAGAUAGAGAUCGGCGCUCCUCCGACGAAAGGUACAACAUGGGUAUUUUGCAAGAAGAGUUGCUGCAUCAAACUAAGAGGUGGCCUAUAAAUUGAUGGUUAUGCAUGAAGGAUGUUUGGAGGCGAAGUUUCAGUCUAUUGAAAGACCUAAGGAAAACCAAUCAGCAGAAAGCUGAUGUUCAUCAUGUCAGACAAGUGAUUAUAAGUAGAAAUCUUGCCUUGAAUCAUUUAUGCUCCUUAGAGAGGUUCUGAGGGUCCCGUGGUUUUAUGAAUUAGAAAACAAUCAACUUAAUAUAAGAAUACAUUAAAAUUCAAAAUUCGUCAAGGGCAUGUUGUACAGCCCCUCAUUUGUCCUACUUGGAGGAAUGCUAUCUAUAAAAUAUAAUAUCACUCAAU